CCUACGGGAGGCAGCAGUGAGGAAUAUUGGUCAAUGGGCGGGAGCCUGAACCAGCCAAGCCGCGUGAGGGAAGAAGGUACAGCGUAUCGUAAACCUCUUUUGUCAGGGAACAAAGGCGGGGACUAGUCCCCGGAUGAGGGUACCUGAAGAAAAAGCAUCGGCUAACUCCGUGCCAGCAGCCGCGGUAAUACGGAGGAUGCGAGCGUUAUCCGGAUUUAUUGGGUUUAAAGGGUGCGCAGGGGGCCUGUUAAGUCAGCGGUAAAAGGUCGGGGCUAAACCCCGACGUGCCGUUGAAACUGGCAGGCUGGAGUACAGUAGAGGUGCGCGGAAUGCGCGGUGUAGCGGUGAAAUGCUUAGAUAUCACGAAGAACCCCGAUUGCGAAGGCAGCUCACCGGAUCGCAACUGACACUGAGGCACGAAAGCGUGGGUAUCAAACAGGAUUAGAUACCCUUGUAGUC
rnacentral:rRNA from 1 species